rnacentral:rRNA from 1 species
AUUGAACGCUGGCGGCAUGCCUUACACAUGCAAGUCGAACGGCAGCACGGGGGCAACCCUGGUGGCGAGUGGCGAACGGGUGAGUAAUGCAUCGGAACGUGCCCAGUAGUGGGGGAUAACCCGGCGAAAGCCGGGCUAAUACCGCAUACGACCUACGGGUGAAAGCGGGGGACCGCAAGGCCUCGCGCUAUUGGAGCGGCCGAUGUCUGAUUAGCUAGUUGGCGGGGUAAAGGCCCACCAAGGCGACGAUCAGUAGCUGGUCUGAGAGGACGACCAGCCACACUGGGACUGGGACACGGCCCAGACUCCUACGGGAGGCAGCAGUGGGGAAUUUUGGACAAUGGGCGCAAGCCUGAUCCAGCCAUGCCGCGUGCGGGAAGAAGGCCUUCGGGUUGUAAACCGCUUUUGGCAGGAACGAAACGGCGCAAGCUAAUACCUUGCGCUAAUGACGGUACCUGCAGAAUAAGCACCGGCUAACUACGUGCCAGCCGCCGCGGUAAAAC